AUUGAACGCUGGCGGCAGGCCUAACACAUGCAAGUCGAGCGGAUGAAGGGAGCUUGCUCCUGGAUUCAGCGGCGGACGGGUGAGUAAUGCCUAGGAAUCUGCCUGGUAGUGGGGGAUGACGUCCGGAAACGGGCGCUAAUACCGCAUACGCCCUGAGGGAGAAAGUGGGGGAUCUUCGGACUUCACGCUAUCAGAUGAGCCUAGGUCGGAUUAGCUAGUUGGUGGGGUAAAGGCCUACCAAGGCGACGAUCCGUAACUGGUCUGAGAGGAUGAUCAGUCACACUGGAACUGAGACACGGUCCAGACUCCUACGGGAGGCAGCAGUGGGGAAUAUUGGACAAUGGGCGAAAGCCUGAUCCAGCCAUGCCGCGUGUGUGAAGAAGGUCUUCGGAUUGUAAAGCACUUUAAGUUGGGAGGAAGGGCAGUAAGUUAAUACCUUGCUGUUUUGACGUUACCAACAGAAUAAGCACCGGCUAACUUCGUG
rnacentral:rRNA from 1 species